rnacentral:rRNA from 1 species
GACGAACGCUGGCGGCGUGCUUAACACAUGCAAGUCGAACGGAAAGGCCCUGCUUUUGUGGGGUGCUCGAGUGGCGAACGGGUGAGUAACACGCGAGUAACCUGCCCUUGACUUUGGGAUAACUUCAGGAAACUGGGGCUAAUCCCGGAUAGGAGCUUCUGCUGCAUGGUGGGGGUUGGAAAGUUUCGGCGGUUGGGGAUGGACUCGCGGCUUAUCAGCUUGUUGGUGGGGUAGUGGCUUACCAAGGCUUUGACGGGUAGCCGGCCUGAGAGGGUGACCGGCCACAUUGGGACUGAGAUACGGCCCAGACUCCUACGGGAGGCAGCAGUGGGGAAUAUUGCACGAUGGGCGGAAGCCGGAUGCAGCAACGCCGCGUGCGGGAUGACGGCCUUCGGGUUGUAAACCGCUUUCGCCUGUGACGAAGCGUGAGUGACGGUAAUGUGUAAAGAAGCACCGGCUAACUACGUG